rnacentral:tmRNA from 1 species
GGGGGCGACCAGGUUUCGACGUGGUCGGUUCGCCGGAUGAGUUGCAAGCCGAGGUCGCCGGUUGGCCUCGUUAAACUACCGGCACAUCAGAUACAUGCGAACGACAACGAACUCGCAUACGCCGCCUAGAUAGGUAGCGUCGUCGUCCCGGCCUGGGCCCGUGGGUCGGUCAGCGGCGUCAACGAACGGGCUUGCUCUGACGGGAGUGCCAGUCGCCCGGCAGAGGAGAGCUAAGGCUGGCUGGCCCGGCGGUAGGCGGCCUGCGAGCCAGCCGGCGGGUGAAGCGGGAUCGCGGGCUAUGCUUGUAGACGCUCAUGCUGGUGCGGCUGCGGACGCGGGUUCGAGUCCCGCCGCCUCCACUA